CCCAGGGAAAAGUCUUCCCAAAGUGGGGGAAAUGACUUUAUGCCUUGUCAGAAAUGCACCUCACUGAACCUUUUCCCCCACCCACCCCCGACGAUCUACCCAAAGCUUCUAUUAAAAAGUGCUGCGCUUUGGGGAUGUCAGGAGACAGCCAAUCGGAUUGCAUGGCCUAAGGUAAGGGAUGAGCCUAUAGUUCAGAGCUGUCAAUCAUUCCAACAUCUCUCUCUCUCUCUCUCUCUCUCUCUCUCUCUCUCUCUCUCUCUCUUAACCCCCACUUGCUUUUGCAACUUUAUUCCUACCGCUUGCCAAGGGAAGGGAACAGACAAACCUUGAAAGACAGUUUUCCAGGCUAACAAGAUUUCUUCUUUAUAUAUAUUUAUAUAUAUAUAUUUUAAAAAUCUCCCAGGGAUGUGCAUUGCAUGGCCCAUCUGGUGUGACACGAUAAGGCAAGCCUCUUGGAAGGAGCCACACUUCAGCUGCAGGAACUGCUCCCUGAGUGAGCCUGCCUAGCCCAAUCUCUGCUUGCUUCCCAGCAAAUUUGGCCAUCUGAGGAGGAUUUGAAAGCUGGUUGGAGGUUUUAUCCAAAAGCUGAAAGCCGGUGCAUUUAUUUUGGGGAGGCCACUUCACUCUUCACUUGCACCAGUUAUUCUCAAAUAAUUGUUUCGCUGUAUCUGUUGCUAGCUGCCUUGCACAUCAAAAUUGCUAGGAAAGAUAAGCCAUCGAACCCUUUAAAUAAAUAAAACAUUGACACUAAGGGUGGGUGUUACAGUGCUCAUACUGUAAUAUAACGGUAGAUUCAUUACGUAUGAAUUGUCCCUUGGUGGAUGGGGUUCUGCUCACGACCUGAGCUUUGUUUAUUGCCAAAUCAAUCAAGAUUGAUUGAUAUUGAUUGAUUGAUUGAUUGAUUGAUUGCCAUAUCUGAGACUGACGGCUCAUCACCAGUAGCAGCCAUAUGUGUGCAUUAAGAGUGACUCCCUUCCCUUAAGUUUUCGGCUUGGCUCCCUUGCAAGAGCGAUCUGUAGCUGCUUGCUCCACAAGCACAUUUCCAUAGCAUCGCUUUUGCUCUCUGCGUGUAACAUGACGUGGAUGGCACAGCUAGAUCCGGUGUGUGUCUGUAGAUAAACAGAUGGUUUUACCUCACAAGCAGGUGGGUACAGCUGCAAGACCUUUCGGAGUUCCUACAGCACUCAUGGAUCAUAGGGUGAUUAACAAAGUGCGUUUUGUGACAGAGAGCAGGAAUUUCAAAUCUGAUAUCCCGCAAGCAGCGGUUUACCACUCCAAAGGCACUAGAGAGCAUGCGCAAGUUAUUCAGCUCGCUUUAAAAAGUUGUUUAUGUACUGAGGUUCUCACCCUGGGCCAGCAGGGGGAUACUGUAGAUAGUUUUCACUCAGGUCCACAUAUGCAAAUAAGGGAUUGAAAGUGACAUUCAGUGAUUGGAUAGUUACAGAAAAUGGUUACUGUUGCGUUCUAGUGGAGCUCUAUAUAAGCAGGCUGGCUGAACCCUUCAGUUCAGUUCUGUUCUGGCCUGUGAAUAAACAAGAGCUGUUUGAAGAA